GGCCUCACAUGCCCGUACUCGGCCAUUAACCGGCUAUUCAUUCAACAGUGAUUCACUUUCACUGUUCGAUCUAUCGGAACGACAUCUGAAAUUCUCAGAGUACUCGGGUAUCCAUAACGUCACGGCGCAACUCUCGCAAUCUAAUAUCCAUUGCCUUGAGAGUCGCUUCACCACUUCGCGUUCACCAUGAGUCUCACUCCUCGUGCAAGAAUCCUUAU
rnacentral:lncRNA from 1 species